rnacentral:rRNA from 1 species
AGCUCCAAUAGCGUAUAUUAAAGUUGUUGCAGUUAAAAAGCUCGUAGUUGGAUUUCGGAGUGGGCCAGUUGGUCCGCCGCAAGGUGUGUUACUGACUGGUCUGCUCUUCUUCGCAAAGACUGCGUGUGCUCUUUGUUGAGUGUGCGUAGGAUUUACGACGUUUACUUUGAAAAAAUUAGAGUGUUCAAAGCAGGCUAUUGCUUGAAUACAUGAGCAUGGAAUAAUGGAAUAGGACUUUGGUCCCAUUUUGUUGGUUUCUAGGACCGAAGUAAUGAUUAAGAGGGACAAUUGGGGGCAUCCGUAUUUCGUUGUCAGAGGUGAAAUUCUUGGAUUUACGAAAGACGAACAACUGCGAAAGCACUUGCCAAGAGUGUUUUCAUUA